GUAGGCAAAUGGGGAUGGGGAUUUUCUUUCCUUUACAUGGGAGGGCGGCUAGUCCUAACCUAAAGGUUGGAGUCCUCUUUUUUUAUA
rnacentral:tRNA from 1 species